AUUUCCCUCACACUCUGUGUUUGCACCUCUCUCCCACCCUUGCUCCUCCAUUCCUUACCUGCAGUGCACCUGGAGCCAAGCCCCUCGUGAUCACUUCACGAUGGUUGGCACUGAUGGCCUUCACGCUUGCUGUCCGGGAGGAGUCGAUAUGGACAAGUUUGCAAACUGGUGAAGAUGGACUGCUCAAAGGUGCCGGCGGGCAGUCCGUCAAUGCGCUGACGAACUCCGCGCUCUACAAAAAUAACAACCUCUCUGGCGCAGGCUGUGAUUACAUCUCUGAGUUCACAGGUCCAACACUGCAUCCUGUUGUCAGGAGAGGUUCCUGUGACACCAAGCGACCCGCCUUGUGCAUCGUACAACCCUAAAUGAUCCAGUAACAUGACUGGCGGUAUGAGGUUUUGAUUGGUCUGGGCCUAUCCUCGCCUUUCAUACAGUUUGUGUAAGGUAUGGAGGGUAUACAUAUGACCUCCUCAGCAGUAAUCACAUGUUGGAAGGCAAAACGUUGGUCCGGUCAUGGCCUGACCAAGUGGACCGUUUCCACUGAGCCUGCAUAACAGCUACCUGUCCCAAAGUUGAGUAAUCUCUAAAGAUGUGAUGUCUGUACGAAUGAUGCAUGCAUGGACAUGCUGAUUGGCCGUUGCCCGGACAAUGAUCUUGUGACAUGCAUGACGUCUCUUUGUCUGCUACUCGACUGUGCUGUAUAAUGUACAUAACACGUUACGUGUAGCUUGGGGGCCUUUGAAGUGGUUCCUGUCUCAGCGCCCUUGACUCUAUGUACAAUGUGCCCUCUGCCAUCAGGCCCGUUUGAGUAAUAAUUAUAACAAUGUUGUGUGAACAAAAUCGGCAAAUUUAUCUUGUUCCCAGGCAAACGGUGAACCAGUUGGCCUACUCUCUGCAUUGCGCUUGCUAAAUUUACUACAGAAUAUCCAUCCCUGCCUGUAUUUAUACCCAACAUGCUCAUACCCGUACACAUACACGUACAUGCAUUCAUGGAUAGUUUCCCCAGCAUGCAGGGGAUUCCCCAGCAUGCAGGGGAUGCAGUAAUGCACCAUGGCUACCUACUAGUUAGUGCCUCUGUCUACUCUGUAUGACAUUACACUGCUAGACCACUGUGUAUUACAAUAUCUUCCAACUUGCAUUUGUUACAAAGUAAUUCUUUGUCAACAUCUUUCAUAUUCUUUUCAAGUCAUUUGAUGUCGAAUACAGAGGACUGCCUUGGCUAAGAGA